CUUUCCUCAUAUACUUAGAUUGAUAUAUACAAUCAAGGUCUGUGACCAGGCACCCUUGAAGCCUUUCCCAAGAUUCCUUCCUCCUUCUAUAGGCUGUUUAAUCUUUCUAUGGAGUUUCUAACUAUGAACCUCAUUCUGCGAUCUUUCAUUCUUGUGCCAUACAGAUGAAUAAGAAUUGCUCGGGGUCACUACACUCAGCAAUAUGUUACAGAAAAAGGAUGAAGCCAGUAUGGAGUAG
rnacentral:lncRNA from 1 species